rnacentral:rRNA from 1 species
UACGUAGGGUGCGAGCGUUGUCCGGAAUUAUUGGGCGUAAGGAGCUCGUAGGCGGCCUGUUGCGUCCGCUGUGAAAGCCCGGGGCUUAACCCCGGGUCGGCAGUGGAUACGGGCAGGCUAGAGGUAGGUAGGGGAGAAUGGAAUUCCCGGUGUAGCGGUGAAAUGCGCAGAUAUCGGGAGGAACACCAAUAGCGAAGGCAGCUCGCUGGGACGGUACUGACACUGAGGCGCGAAAGCGUGGGGAGCGAACAGG